CAAGCCACACCUAUUGGUUUUGGGUCUCUGGGAGUUCCCCUCGGAGAGGAGAGAUAACGCGAGUUUUUGGGAGAAGUAAAAGACAGGGUUGGAGACAGCUUCACUCUCUUGCUCUGGGCAUCGGAGAGAGAACGGCCAGGCUGCUGCUCGCUGCAGGAGUUCGCUGUUACCCCCCCGUCCAGUCUUAGAAAAUCAACCACCAUCUGCUCGUGUGUGCCGGAACCCUGAGCUCGCCUCCUCCUGCCCUGCGGGGCCGGCCCUGUCCUGCUGCCGCUGUUCCUUCGGUGCUGCUUUGAGGCUUUCUGCCGCUCUGUGGCCCUGCCCUGCUGGGACAUCCCUGCCGCUCCAGCUGCCACCGAGGGAGGUUCUGUCACAUCUCAUGCACCAGCCCGGGAUUUUUCCACCACUCCAGCUUGCUGCUCUCGGAGUCCCAAGAGAUCAGACUGCCCUGGGCUUUGUGAAACCAAAGCCCCUCGAGAUGAGCCAACAAGAACUGCAGAAAUACAAUUCCUGGGGAAAGGUGGCCUGGAACACGGCGUCUCUUAGAGAACAGCAACAAUGACAAGGACCUUGAAGAAUUCUUGGAUGGAAGAAUUAGACACGGAAUUGCCUGAAGAGCCCAAUCAUUCCACCCUUGGCCAGCUGAUGGAUGAAGGUACCUCCUCAGAUUUGCUCUUGGAUGUGAAUCAGCCCCUGAGGUACCUUAUUUUUGAAUGGGAAAGUUUUUGGAACUUCUCUAUGUUGUCAGACAAAGCCAAUAAAUGAGAAGCUGAUGGAGGUGACAGGCAGCAGGAGCUGGAAGACUCAACAGGGCUCAGUUGUUACCUCUGUGUUGGCAGGUGGAAGGUAAGGGGCAGUGACACUCCAAGUGAGAUCAGAGUAUUCUGGAUCUGCUUUUCACUAGAAAGUUUUUUUCUUCAUAAACAUAAAAAUCUUCAAAAUACCCAAGUGUUCAUCAGUUGGAGAUUUCUCACAUGAGGUAUUUGUUUGCUAUAAGAAAAUUACCAUCAGCUAUGAAAAUGGGGAAAAAGAGAAAGGGAGAUCACAGAGCUUUUUCCAGUCUAAUUUUUGAAUCAGCUCCAGAAAGCAUGUCUUCACUAAAAUAAAUUGAUGCACGAUAUGUUUGUGUGGCUAUUGUGAUACACCUGUAAUUUCCCUCCUCCUGUUUAUAAAAGCCUCAGAACAUGAUCAAAGAAUAAAACCA